rnacentral:tRNA from 2 species
GGCGGUAUAGCUCAGUUGGCUAGAGCAUACGGUUCAUACCCGUAGUGUCACUAGUUCGAAUCUAGUUACCGCUACCA